ensembl:lncRNA
GGUAAGCAAACCCCCAAGGGAGGCGAUGGAAUGAGUUGUGUGGGCAUUUGGAACAAAGUGUCCAGCAGAAGAAACAACAAGUGCAAAGGCCCUGAGGCAGAAACAGGACAUCUGAGGAUCAGCAAAGAGGCCAAUGUGGCUAGGGCAGAGCAUAGGAAAUCAAAGGGGAGCCUGAUAGUAAAUGAGGACAAUGAAAUAAUGAAGAAACAGUUUAUGUAGUGUCUUAAAAGCUUUUGAAGGUACAUGGCUUCUGUUGAUGAAAUAGGGGGCCUCCGAGAGUUUAAGUGGAAGAAUGAUGUUAUCUGACUUCACACAGGAUCCCUCUGGCUGCAAGAUUGGAAGUUGACUGAAGGGGUCAGAAGCAGAAACACUGAUGGUGGAGACUGUCCUAACACUGCAGGAUCUUAGUUCCCUAACCAGGAAUCAAACCCCUGUGUCCUACUGUGGAAGCGUAGACUCCCAACCACUGGACCACCAGAAGAUUCCCUAAUAGGUAUUUUGCAAGACUUUGAUGACAUAUGGACUUCCCUGGUGGCUCAGAUGGUAAAUCAUCAGCCUGCAAGGCGGGAGACCUGCAUUCGAUCCCUGGGUCAGGAAGAUCCCCUGAAGAAUGAAAUGGCAACCCACUCCAGUACUCUUGCCUGGAAAAUUCCAUGGACGGAGGAGCUUGGUGGGCUACAGUCCAUAGGGUCGCAAAGAGUUGGACACGACUGAGUGACUUUACUUGAUGACACAUCAUGGUAAAGGAAGUGGACAAAGUUUCAGCUGUAUCUCACCCCACUGGCACAUCAACAUGGGAACAUCAAGUCAUAUCAACAUGGAAGCAGAGAAAGUAAAGCCCCUGAAACUGAACUUCAGAGAUACUGGAAAGUUUUCUGAAAGUGUUGUUUUUCAAAAGCUUGAAA